rnacentral:rRNA from 1 species
GAUGAACGCUGGCGGCGUGCCUAAUACAUGCAAGUCGAGCGAACGGACGAGAAGCUUGCUUCUCUGAUGUUAGCGGCGGACGGGUGAGUAACACGUGGAUAACCUACCUAUAAGACUGGGAUAACUUCGGGAAACCGGAGCUAAUACCGGAUAAUAUUUUGAACCGCAUGGUUCAAAAGUGAAAGACGGUCUUGCUGUCACUUAUAGAUGGAUCCGCGCUGCAUUAGCUAGUUGGUAAGGUAACGGCUUACCAAGGCAACGAUGCAUAGCCGACCUGAGAGGGUGAUCGGCCGCACUGGAACUGAGACACGGUCCAGACUCCUACGGGGGGCAGCAUUAGGGAAUCUUGCGCAUUGGGCGAAAGCCUGACGGAGCAGCGCCGCGUGAGUGAUGAAGGUCUUCGGAUCGUAAAACUCUGUUAUGAGGGAAGAACAUAUGUGUAAGUAACUGUGCACAUCUUGACGGUACCUAAUCAGAAAGCCACGGCUAACUACGUG